GACGAACGCUGGCGGCGUGCUUAACACAUGCAAGUCGAACGGAAAGGCCCUGCUUGCAGGGUGCUCGAGUGGCGAACGGGUGAGUAACACGUGGGUGAUCUGCCCCUUACUUUGGGAUAAGCCUGGGAAACUGGGUCUAGUACUGGAUAGGACCAUGCUGUAGGUGGUGUGGUGGAAAGAUUAGUUUCGGUAAGGGAUGAGCUCGCGGCCUAUCAGCUUGUUGGUGGGGUAAUGGCCUACCAAGGCGUCGACGGGUAGCCGGCCUGAGAGGGUGGACGGCCACAUUGGGACUGAGAUACGGCCCAGACUCCUACGGGAGGCAGCAGUGGGGAAUAUUGCACAAUGGGCGCAAGCCUGAUGCAGCGACGCCGCGUGGGGGAUGACGGCCUUCGGGUUGUAAACUCCUUUCAGCCAUGACGAAGCCCUUGUGGUGACGGUAGUGGUAGAAGAAGCACCGGCUAACUACGUG
rnacentral:rRNA from 1 species